CCAACUGAAUCCAAUUCAAUUGGACUUGAUCCAAAAAUAAUUACUCAAUUAAAUUGAGUUAAUUAGUGAUCAAAUCACUAAUUAAAUCUCUCAUAAAUACUGUCCAAAUUCUAUGGGCAAUCAGGUAUCAGAGUUCAUCGAUAUGAAACCCUGAUCAAGAAGUCCCAAACCAAUGGGACUCUUGACCCCGGUACCCAAAAUGUGUGGAACUCAUGAUCAGAGAAUCUUGAUUCUCGAUCACAGAGUUCCAGAUACGUAGGACUCAAAGUCCACGAGCAUUAGGACUCUUCACCAGCCAACAGAUUAGAUAGGAACCUCUAAUAUGUGUGACCCCAC
rnacentral:lncRNA from 1 species